rnacentral:sRNA from 1 species
UGAAGAAUUCUGCUGUGAACAUGAGUGUACGGAUAUCUCUUUGAGAUCCUGCUUUCAAUUCUUUUGGAUAUAUACCCAGAAAUGGUAUUACUGGAUCAUAUGAGCUCACUCUACUCUGGAUGAGGACCUGGAAAGAUGGCUGCAGCCACCUGAGGAGAGCGUGGAGCUACAAGACCUUCCCAAGGGCUCUGAAAGGGAGACAAAUAUCAAAGAUCAAAAAGUUGGUGAAGAGAAAAGAAAAAGGGAAGAUAGCAUUACACCAGAGAGAAGGAAAUCAGAGGGUGUUUUAGGGACUUCUGAAGAAGGAUAAUCGUGCUGGAUCAGAGUGACUUGUCAGACUGAUUGGAAUUGGAUCAUAGAUGGACUCCUGGCCUGAGUUUGAGUGUCCUGGCUGUAAGCUCCUUUCUUCUCUUUCUGCUUCAGUUGCUGUCAGGGCAGCAGUUCCAGUUCUGUAAGUCUCACUUUGUUCAGCUGCCACAAUAGACAUCAUCGUUUGGCCCUCUCUGUUAGCAGCACAUUCAACCAUUUGUUUUCAGUCAGAUUUCUGAAAAGUGAGAGGUAGUUUUGAUUGUAAAAAUUUUUGGUUGUGCCUAGAAUGGCUUUGGUUUUGUUGAUGUUAAUUUUCAAAAACUUUAACUCUUGUUAUAUAAUAAAAUGUUUAAUUUUAAUAACA